rnacentral:sRNA from 2 species
CAAGGUCCGAGUUGUAAUUUGCAGAGGAUGCCUUGGGAGAGAGACCGGCUCAAGUCCCCUGGAACGGGGCGUCACAGAGGGUGAGAAUCCCGUAUCUGGCCGGCCCUCGACCCCGUGUAAGGCUCCUUCGACGAGUCGAGUUGUUUGGGAAUGCAGCUCUAAAUUGGUGGUAAAUUUCAUCUAAAGCUAAAUACCGGCUGGAGACCGAUAGCGCACAAGUAGAGUGAUCGAAAGAUGAAAAGCACUUUGGAAAGAGAGUUAAAAAGCACGUGAAAUUGUUGAAAGGGAAGCGCUCGCAGCCAGACUCGCUCACAGGUGAUCAGCCGUCCCUCGGGGCGGUGUACUCUCCUGUGGCCGGGCCAGCAUCAAUUCUGGGGGCGGGAUAAAGGCUUGGGGAAUGUAGCUCCUCGGAGUGUUAUAGCCCCUCGCGGCAUGCCGCCACCUGGGAUUGAGG